rnacentral:rRNA from 1 species
CAGGCCUAACACAUGCAAGUCGAGCGAGGACUUUAGUCCUAGCGGCGGACGGGUGAGUAACGCGUGGGAAUGUGCCCUUCUCUACGGAAUAGUCCCGGGAAACUGGGUUUAGUACCGUAUACGCCCUUCGGGGGAAAGAUUUAUCGGAGAAGGAUCAGCCCGCGUUGGAUUAGGUAGUUGGUGGGGUAAUGGCCUACCAAGCCGACGAUCCAUAGCUGGUUUGAGAGGAUGAUCAGCCACACUGGGACUGAGACACGGCCCAGACUCCUACGGGAGGCAGCAGUGGGGAAUCUUAGACAAUGGGGGAAACCCUGAUCUAGCCAUGCCGCGUGAGUGAAGAAGGCCCUAGGGUCGUAAAGCUCUUUCGCCAGGGAUGAUAAUGACAGUACCUGGUAAAGAAACCCCGGCUAACUCCGUGCCAGCAGCCGCGGUAAUACGGAGGGGGUUAGCGUUGUUCGGAAUUACUGGGCGUAAAGCGCGCGUAGGCGGAUUAGUAAGUCAGAGGUGAAAUCCCAGGGCUCAACCCUGGAACUGCCUUUGAUACUGCUAGUCUUGAGUUCGAGAGAGGUGAGUGGAAUUCCGAGUGUAGAGGUGAAAUUCGUAGAUAUUCGGAGGAACACCAGUGGCGAAGGCGGCUCACUGGCUCGAUACUGACGCUGAGGUGCGAAAGCAUGGGGAGCAAACAGGAUUAGAUACCCUGGUAGUCCAUGCCGUAAACGAUGAAUGCCA